GGGGGUGAAUAGCGUUAUGAUAAAAAUUAACGUAAACUUUGCGGAAUUAAAAAAUUGCAGGAAGUAAAUAAGUGCGAUAAAUAAUAAAGUACGCACCGAUGUAUUCUGGUUCACCACAACACGUGGCUAGUCCAGUCCCCGAGAGACUCUCUCGAGAUUUUCCACUAAUUUGUCAAGCUUACGGGUGCUCAACAAACCUUUACAACUUAAGGACACAAGCCUUAACACCUUUGCUCGGAGAUACAACACUCCAAGACUUCNNNN
rnacentral:lncRNA from 1 species